AAGAAACACUCUGGGACAUGUGAUCAAAAGUGUCUUGACAAAAUUUGAGCUUGCUACUGCAAUAAAGCUAACCUAGUCCAGUGCUCUCCCUUCUGUCAUCAGACAAGCCAUUACAUAGACUUAAACAAU
ensembl:snoRNA